AUGACAAUCGCAGAAUGUCAUUACAAUACACAUAGGUUUAUUAUAACAGAUGUCUCUUUCUAUUCAUUAAAUUGCAGGUGCACAGUGCACUGUUGGGGUUUGGAUGCUAAAAUGAUUUUGUGAGUUGACGAAUGUUUCAAGUUUCAAGUUUCAAUGUGCGCGGGUUGCCUACAGGAGCGCCUUUGUUAAGUGAUUGUUUGACAAUCAGAUGAAAACAUCAUGACUGGUUGUGUUUAUGCCACAUUAAAAGACAUAGGCGGCAUGUCCAUAAGGUUAGAGGAAGCUUUCCCUAAAGUAAAUUGAAUUGCCAAAAUGAUAUAGCCUAAUUAGCUUACUCCUGUCUAUACAGAAAUAAAUAAAAUAAUUCAACAUAGGCUACUACACAAGAAAGCAUGAGUUGGCCACAGAGGAUCAUUAGCUUCUAAAGAAAAAGCUGUGGAUUGUUUUAAAUCGCAUAGCCUACAGUCGGAAGGGCCCGCAAUUUGGGCAGUGCGCACUGCAAAUGCCAAAUAGAUUGUUGAGUUGUGACUGUCAGUGAAAAGCAGAGAGACCCAGCCAGGCAUAUCACACUAUUUAAAAAUACAAUUGUGGAAAAACUGUAUGGAAAGCAAAUGGCUAUUGCUGUAAAGAGAUGACAAUGAAUAUACUCAAAUGUGUCUUUUUGUUAUAAAAAUUCUUACCUUAAUUGAGUGAACAGUAGCCUAUUAUUGGCACCAGCAGUGAACAUCGGCCAUCGGUGAUUGUGCAUAUUCAAUGUCUUUAUCAUUGGGUCAGCGCCACUUUUGUUUGUUUUUGGACAAUCAUUUCCUCCUCCAGGUUAGAUGGACGUCACAUUGUAUUUGUGUCUCCCCUUUUCAUAGGCCAAUUAUAUGGAUCAGACAACAUCGUUUUUAUUGAUCUGUUUUUCAGUGUCAGCAGAGUAGGCUACCCUGUAAUUUUUAUAGUAUAAAAAAAAAUGCAUGCGCUCACUUGGGUGUCCCGUACCAGUAAAAAAUGUAAUCUAUUUUCACCCCUGGCUAGAUGGCUCCACUAAUGCCUAAUUUGGCCCCACUAAUGCCUCAUUUGGCCUCAGACUUAAAUUAAAAAAGCAUCACAGGGCUCUACGCUGAAUUUUUUUACAAGAUGUGCUCCUAAGUAAAAAUGUAGGAGCACACAUAGACAUUUAGGAGCACAAUGAAACCUUUUAUUCAUCAACUGUUAGUCAUUUCUUAUCAUAAAAACAUUUCCUCGCACUCGCAUGUCUCUCUUUCUUUCUGCCUGUGUGCUUCUAAAAAUGAAUCUUUCAGCACUUCACUCAGUGCGCACAGCCCCCCAGGCACUGUUGCUUCUCGAGGUGGGCUAUAUGGGAUUCAUAGAUAUUUUUGUGAUUAGCUACAUCUAUGAUACAAAACAGCAGAAAACAAAAUACUUUUAAAAUAGUUACGGCAGAAAUGUUUUGCUAUAAAUCACAACUCGAACGUGCUCCUACUUGACUUUCAGUUCGAAUUUCUAUUUGUAGGCGCAUAUGCAAGUAAAAUGGUCGCACUGUAGAGCCCUGCAUCACAUCUGUUAGCUGUAAGUGCUCAGUAAAUAUUUUAGAAGAAAAAAAAAGAUGCAAAUAACUGUAAAGAUCUCUGCACACAUCUAAGUGCAGUACACCAUCUCAACUUCCAGUUACUUCCUUAUGCUGUCAGGAUGGCUGUUGUAGGUAUUAUCUAUCAUGUAGUUUGACGAUAUGAAACAGUAACUGAUUACUUUUUUUCUAUUCUUCUUUAAGGCACUGCAUCAUAUACCAGCAGAACCUGUUGGACCAACACCAGACUGUUGUGGCAUCAUUUCCCAACAUCUGAGACAAAGACAAUUGGCGUCUUCAUUAGUGGAACAGUUCCCUUGCCUCAAGGAUUCAGAGGGUAAAGGCUGUAAGUUACUGUAGGUUUUAAUUUUGAAACUCACUGCAUUAUCUAUCAUGCACGGAAUCGGCUAUGUCCACCGAAAUUGAGUCCUUGGAGGUGUAAUACUUUUUUAUUGGUAUUACCAAAUCCUAGCCAUAUUGAACACAAAGGGUCUUUAAAAAAAAAAAACAGACUUUUAUCUUCAAGGAUGCUUGGUACAGCCAAGGAUGACGCCUCUGUCCUUCUACUGGUUUCCAAGAGGAAUGCCUCAACUCUACAGCUGCAGCCGCCGAAGAUAACAGACCAAGCAUGUCUUGCCUGCCCAUAAUAGGGUCAGAUGUGUCCCCUAAAGGAGACGGCCACCUAGAGGGCAAAGUGGAUACAUGAAAACGGGUCCAAGACCAUGGAGGAAAUCUCCAAUCACGGUUUCUGGAUACUCCAGGCAUGGUAGCUCAUAGUAAGCACCCCAGCAACAAGGUUAAAGUCAAAUCCGUUUCCAAACAUGAUUUAAAGUAUACUCAUCAGGGUUUGGGUCAAUUCCAUUUCGAUUCCAGUCAGUUUAGAAAGAAACCCAAUUCCAAAUUGUUGUCAUUAAAAGCAUUGAAGAGCAUUGGAAUUUCAGUGUGCUUCCUGAAUUGUCUUGAUUUGGAAUUGACCCCAACCCUGAUACUCAUACUUGUCAGUAGGUAGAAUUAAAUGUAUGAUUUAAUUAUAACUUCUAUUCUUGUGCCAGUAUCAUUGAUGUACAAAAUGAUGUGCAGUACAGCUUAGAUUUUGCCAUUGAAAGUGCUACCUUUCAAUCUACCCUUCUAAUCUAAAUGAUAAACAAAUUCAUAGGUUUGUUUGUCUACCUGUUCUCCAAAUUGCUCCAGAUUUUGAUUGACUCAACUUUGGAUGUUCAACAAAGCUGACCGAAAACUGGGUGCCAGUUUUCACCGAGAAUUUACUGCGUCUGGCCCGCAAGGAAAUUCAUGCUGAGAUCCUGCUGUCAGAGCUGGAGGCAGACGUGAUUACCGCAGAUAAAAAAGGGCGACAUGGCCUCUGCUCCCACCACCAGUGUACCAAGGUGGGAGAAAGAAUGUCCGCUCAAACAUCCUUGAGGCCAGAAAAUCAUUAAUUUACCUACAGGCUACAGGUUGGAGCCAACAUGGCUGAAUACCUCUGCCGGGUGGCGAAGAGACCCGACUCCUCUGGAGGUGCAGGUGUAAAGGGACCUCGGACUGGUGCUAAAGUAUGCACCGGACAGAUGCGGGAGUGGAGGACGGCCACAAAAAUGAUUUCUUGUUAUGCUAUUAGACCUAGAAAUUGUAUUUCUUUAUUGAUGUGAUUUUACACAAAAUAAAUGUUCAACAGUUAUUGUUAAUAGGACCCUAGGAUAUUUUGCCUACUGUAUUUUAAAUAUUGUGAUAUAGUGGUGUAAAGUACUAUACAUAUGGAUUGAUUUGCAGUGACCAUUGCUGCUGUGAGAGGCAUGUCAUAUUGACGUCUAAAAAAUACAAUUUGGUGAAAACACACCACUGGUGGGAAAAUGCACAUAUUUUCUAUAUGCGGAUUCUAGAGUAUUCACAUGAAAAUCUUUUGCCGAUUGGAUGGAAACCUAGCUAUAGAUACGCUCUGAGUAAUGUGAUUUGCUUCCUUACCGAUAAUUGCCCCACGUGUCGAACAAACAUGUUAUGAUGAUGAAAAUGUGUCAAACUUUAGGAACACCUUCCUAAUAUUGAGUUGUUUGUGUUACAGAAUGAAUUUCUUAUUGAUUAAAAUGAGAUUUUUUGUCACUGGCCUACCCACAAUACAGCAUAAUGUCGAAGUGAAUGUUUUUCUGAAUUUUUACAAAUUAAUUACAAUUGAAAAGCUGAAAUGUCUUGAGUAAAUAAUUAGUCAACCCCUUUAUAAUGUCAAGCCUAAAUAAGUUUAGGAGUAAAAGGUUGCUUAACAAGUCA